GACGAACGCUGGCGGCGUGCUUAACACAUGCAAGUCGAACGGGCCUGCCCUUUUUUGGGUGGGUUGAGUGGCGAACGGGUGAGUAUCACGUGAGUAACCUGCCCCCUGCUCCUGGAUAACGCUCUGAAAGGGGUGCUAAUCCGGGGUGUGCUGGUGCUGCCGCAUGGUGGUGCCGGGAUAGGUUCCCCUUUUUUUUGGGGUUGUGGUGGGGGAUGGGCUGGCGGCCUCUCAGCUUGUUGGUGGGGGUAUGGCCUAGCAAGGCGGGGACGGGUAGCCGGCGUGAGAGGGUGGACGGCAACACUGGGACUGAGACACGGCCACGACGCCUGCGGGAGGCAGCAGUGGGGGGGAAUGCGCAAGGAGCGGAAGCCUGACGCCGCGACGCCGCGUGAGCGACGGAGGGCUUCGGGUUGUGAACCUCUGUCGCCGGUGGAGAAGGAGCACCCGUGUGGGGUGCUGACGGUAGCCGGGUUAAGAAGCGCCGGCUAACUACGUG
rnacentral:rRNA from 1 species